rnacentral:rRNA from 1 species
UACGGAGGGUGCAAGCGUUGUCCGGAUUUAUUGGGUUUAAAGGGUGCGUAGGCGGCCCGUUAAGUCAGCGGUGAAAUCCCGGGGCUCAACCCCGGAACUGCCGUUGAUACUGGCGGGCUCGAGUUCGGUGAAGGCGGGCGGAACUGGCGGUGUAGCGGUGAAAUGCUUAGAUACCGCCAAGAACCCCGAUUGCGUAGGCAGCUCGCUGUGCCGAAACUGACGCUGAGGCACGAAAGCGUGGGGAGCGAACAGG